rnacentral:rRNA from 1 species
AUUGAACGCUGGCGGCAUGCCUUACACAUGCAAGUCGAACGGUAACGGGCCUUCGGGUGCCGACGAGUGGCGAACGGGUGAGUAAUACAUCGGAACGUGCCCGAUCGUGGGGGAUAACGAGGCGAAAGCUUUGCUAAUACCGCAUACGAUCUACGGAUGAAAGCAGGGGACCGCAAGGCCUUGCGCGGACGGAGCGGCCGAUGGCAGAUUAGGUAGUUGGUGGGAUAAAAGCUUACCAAGCCGACGAUCUGUAGCUGGUCUGAGAGGAUGAUCAGCCACACUGGGACUGAGACACGGCCCAGACUCCUACGGGAGGCAGCAGUGGGGAAUUUUGGACAAUGGGCGCAAGCCUGAUCCAGCCAUGCCGCGUACAGGAUGAAGGCCUUCGGGUUGUAAACUGCUUUUGUACGGAACGAAAAGCCUUCUUUUAAUACAGGAGGGUCAUGACGGUACCGUAAGAAUAAGCACCGGCUAACUACGUG